AGCGAACGUUAGCGGCAGGCUUAACACAUGCAAGUCGAGCGAGAAAAGGGCUUCGGCCCCCAGUAAAGCGGCGGACGGGUGAGUAACACGUGGGUAAUGUGCCCUUCAGCGGGGGAUAACAGUCCGAAAGGAUUGCUAAUACCGCAUACGUCGGUCGUUCCUCCGGGAGCGAUCGGGAAAGGUGGCCUCUCCAUGGAAGCUACCACUGAAGGAGCAGCCCGCGACCCAUCAGCUAGUUGGCGGUGUAAAGGACCACCAAGGCUAAGACGGGUAGCUGGUCUGAGAGGAUGAUCAGCCACACUGGAACUGAGACACGGUCCAGAAUCCUACGGGAGGCAGCAGUGGGGAAUAUUGGGCAAUGGGCGCAAGCCUGACCCAGCCAUGCCGCGUGAGUGAUGAAGGCCUUCGGGUCGUAAAGCUCUGUGGGGAGGGACGAAACAGGCUGUGGCUAAUAUCCACGGCCCUUGACGGUACCUCCUUAGCAAGCACCGGCUAACUCCGUGCCAGCCGCCGCGGUAACAC
rnacentral:rRNA from 1 species